rnacentral:misc_RNA from 1 species
AUGUAAAGGUCAAGUUUGCAAAAUGAUCAUCAGAAGUAACACAAAACAAAAAAGUGCAAGCUGCCCAUUUAGUCUUUGUUUUUGGAUAGUUAAAUUAUGUUACCAUAAUGGCUAUGCGACAAUGUUUUGGACGGGGAAAGGUGACAAAAGGCGAUAAGGGUCCAAACUAACAUCAUCUUUGUCGCCAUUGUCCCCUCACCAUAAAGCUAAUAGUCGAUGAAGGUUCGCCUUGCCUCACGCCAUUGGGGACCAGAUGAUUAUUUUUCACAACAGUGCUAUGCGAUCAGCUCAGAUGUCAAGCAAGAACUCUCUGAUGUUUCUCUUUAAUUACUGUGUUAGGAACUCUGUAUGAGCUCUACUUAUUUGGUACCUAUUCCAGAAAAUGGCUCGACGUCUCUCAAAUUGAAACAUCGAUUUCAUUAAUAUAAGACAUAUGUCUCAGAAAUCACAUUGUUGUAUGAUGG